UGGUUCUGGCAUCGAUGAAGAACGCAGCGAAAUGCGAUACGUAAUGUGAAUUGCAGAAUUCAGUGAAUCAUCGAAUCUUUGAACGCACAUUGCGCCCGCCAGCACUCUGGCGGGCAUGCCUGUCCGAGCGUCACUUUCAGACCUCAAGCGCCGCUUGGUGUUGGGGACCGGCGCGCACGCGCCGCCCCCGAAAUGCAUUGGCGGCCACGCCGCGGCCUCCCCCUGCGUAGUAGCACAGCUCGCACCGGGAGCCCGGCGAGGCCACUGCCGCGAAACCCCCCACGCUCAGGAGUUGACCUCGGAUCAGGUAGGAGUACCCGCUGA
rnacentral:misc_RNA from 1 species